rnacentral:rRNA from 1 species
AUUGAACGCUGGCGGCAUGCCUUACACAUGCAAGUCGAACGGCAGCACGGGAGCAAUCCUGGUGGCGAGUGGCGAACGGGUGAGUAAUAUAUCGGAACGUGCCCAGUCGUGGGGGAUAACGCAGCGAAAGCUGUGCUAAUACCGCAUACGAUCUAAGGAUGAAAGCGGGGGAUCGCAAGACCUCGCGCGAUUGGAGCGGCCGAUAUCAGAUUAGCUAGUUGGUGGGGUAAAGGCCCACCAAGGCGAAGAUCUGUAGCCGGGCUGAGAGGACGACCAGCCACACUGGAACUGAGACACGGUCCAGACUCCUACGGGAGGCAGCAGUGGGGAAUUUUGGACAAUGGGCGCAAGCCUGAUCCAGCAAUGCCGCGUGCAGGAUGAAGGCCUUCGGGUUGUAAACUGCUUUUGUACGGAACGAAACGGCCCUUUCUAAUACAGGGGGCUAAUGACGGUACCGUAAGAAUAAGCACCGGCUAACUACGUGCCAGCCGCCGCGGUAA